rnacentral:tRNA from 1 species
CUGGGUGUAGCUCAGCCUGGCCAGAGUGCUCGGUCUGGACCCGAGAAGUUCGUAGGUUCAAAUCCUACCACCCAGACCA